GACGUAGGGGGCGAGCGUUGUCCGGAUUCAUUGGGCGUAAAGCGCGCGUAGGCGGCCCGGUAAGUCGGGUGUGAAAUCCUGGGGCUCAACCCCAGGACUGCACUCGAUACUGCCAGGCUAGAGGUAGGUAGGGGAGAUCGGAAUUCCUGGUGUAGCGGUGAAAUGACGCAGAUAUCAGGAGGAACACCGGUGGCGAAGGCGGAUCUCUGGGCCUUACCUGACGCUCAGGCGCGAAAGCUAGGGGAGCGAACAGG
rnacentral:rRNA from 1 species